AUUGAACGCUGGCGGCAGGCUUAACACAUGCAAGUCGAGCGGGGUGAUGGUGCUUGCACUAUCACUUAGCGGCGGACGGGUGAGUAAUGCUUAGGAAUCUGCCUAUUAGUGGGGGACAACAUCUCGAAAGGGAUGCUAAUACCGCAUACGUCCUACGGGAGAAAGCAGGGGAUCACUUGUGACCUUGCGCUAAUAGAUGAGCCUAAGUCGGAUUAGCUAGUUGGUGGGGUAAAGGCCUACCAAGGCGACGAUCUGUAGCGGGUCUGAGAGGAUGAGCCGCCGCACUGGGACUGAGACACGGCCCAGACUCCUACGGGAGGCUGUAGUGGGGAAUAUUGGACAAUGGGGGGAACCCUGAUCCAGCCAUGCCGCGUGUGUGAAGAAGGCCUUGUGGUUGUAAAGCACUUUAAGCAAGGAGGAGGCUCUUUUGGUUAAUACCCAAGAUGAGUGGACGUUACUCGCAGAAUAAGCACCGGCUAAUUCUGUGCCAGCAGCCGCCGCCG
rnacentral:rRNA from 1 species